CGACCCCGGAUUUGGGCGUGGCUGGCGAAGGCCAGGCCAACCUGCAGAGACUCGCGGUCGUAGAUGGUGAAGUACCGCCUGAGGAAGGGAUCCCCGAGCAGCACCACGGGCCCCUUGGGCGGCGG
rnacentral:SRP_RNA from 15 species